ensembl:snRNA U6 U6 spliceosomal RNA
GUGCUUGCCUCGGCAGCACAUAUACUAAAAUUGGAACGAUACAGAGAAAACUAGCAUGGCCCCUGCGCAAGAAUGAUACGCAAAUUCCUGAAGCGUUCCGUAUUUUU